ACCCCGCCACCCCGCCUGCCGCGGCCGGUUACCUUCCUCGUAGCCCCACUCCACCCCCUCCUCCUCCUCCUCUUCAUCCUCCUCCUUCUCCGGGAAGGCGACGGAAUCCUCGAUGAAGCUCAGGCUGGGUUGCUUUGUAAGAGCUAGGACGUGAUGCUGAAGAUCUCCCAGGAGCUGAAGGAAGAGCAUGGUCUUACUCUUAUGCCUGUGUGUGCUGCCAAGGUUUUGGGUAGGAUGCUAUCAUUGCCAUCGGGCAUUCCAUCCAACUUCACUAUAUUGGAAAUUCUCUAA
rnacentral:lncRNA from 1 species